UAGAGAGAGACAUGCGCGCAUAUCAAUAAGCGGAGGAAAAGAAACUAACUAGGAUUCCCUCAGUAACGGCGAGUGAAGCGGGAAGAGCUCAAAUUUGAAAUCUUCAAGGUUCUACCUUGACGAAUUGUAGUUUAUAGAAGUGUUUUCUGUUAGUGGAGUGGCAAAAGUUCUUUGGAAUAGGACAUCAUAGAGGGUGAGAAUCCCGUAUUUGGUCAUUCCUCCUAGCGUUGUGAUACACUUUCAACGAGUCGGAUUGUUUGGGAAUGCAGUCCAAAAUGGGUGGUAAAUUUCAUCUAAAGCUAAAUAUUGGCGAGAGACCGAUAGCGAACAAGUACCGUGAGGGAAAGAUGAAAAGAACUUUGAAAAGAGAGUUAAACAGUACGUGAAAUUGUCAAAAGGGAAGCGUUUGACACCAGUGUUGUUUUUCCGAAAAUCAAUUACGAAUGUUUUGUUUUUAAGGAGUUAUGACUUCAUCGGCUUGCUUCUUUCUUUACGAAACUUUCUUAAUGCACUUUUCGGUUAACAAGUCAACAUCAAUUUCUUUUGUUGUAAAAGGGUACUGAGGAAGGUGGCUUUCUUUCCGGAGAAAGUGUUUAUAGCCUUGUACCUCUGCAAUCGGAGAGAUUGAGGUCUGCAGCGUAGAUCCUUCGGGGUUAGAUACAUUUGUGCUAAGUUAUAGCUUUUCAUAGACAACUUGUUGACUAUGUUUAGUCUUGUAGCUUACUCGCUUAUGCUAUUUUACCUACGCUUAGGAUGUUGAUCUGUAGUGCGUGCGC
rnacentral:rRNA from 1 species